CCAAGCAGAACAAGCACCAAAAAAAAAUAAUAUAUAUAUAUAUAUAUAUAUAUGCAUCUAGAAACAUCCUUAUCACACUGUGUAGUACACUGAAAAUCAAACAUAAUGAGAAAAUGCUUGAAAGCAGAAGAAAAAAAUGAUUCACUGAAUACAGGAGAACAAAGAUACAAAUGGUGGUGGAUACAUCAUCAAAAACCCUAAAGAUCAGAAGAGAAUGGAAUUACAUCCUUAAAAUGCUAAAAGAAAAAAAAAAUUAGCUGUCAACUCACAAUUCUAUCUCCAGCAAAAUUAUCCUUCCAAAAUAAGGGUAAAAUGAAGAUAUUUUUAGAUAAACAAAAGCUGAGCGGUGUUGCUACCAGACUUGCAAAGCAAAAAUUAAAAAUUGCUGAAAGGGGUUCUUUAAGCUGAAGAGAAAUAACAAAUGGAAACUCAACUCAAUAUGAAGGAAUGAAGAGUGUCAGAAAUGGUAAAUAUGUAGUAAAUAUAUUACUAUGUCCUUACAUUAAUUUCUUUAGAAGACAGCCAUUUAAAGCAAAAUCAAAAGCAAAACAAAAAUAAUGUUACAUUAUGAGAUUUAUAACAUAUAUAAAAGAUAUAUAAUACCAAAAAUUAAGGUAGAUUUAAAGCCAAUAGAGAAAAUAAAUGACGUGCUAAAGCACAUUCAAUUAACUCAAAAGAAGACAGGAAAAGAAAUGAACAGCAACCAAAAAAAAAAAAAUCAGAGAGAAAGUAAAUAGGAAGGGAAAUCCAAUUAUAUCAAUAAUUACAUAAAGUGUAAAUGACUAAACCAUCCAACUAAAAGGCAGAGGUUGUCAGACUUAAAAAAAAAAAAAAGAACAAGACCAGAAUUGCAGACAGGUUAUAAGUAAAGGUACAGAAAAAAGAUACAGCAUAUAAAAGCUAGUGCUGCAAAACCAGGAAUAUCCACACUAAUAAGAAUAUUUCUUAAUGAUAAAAGAUAAAAUUUAAAAGAUAAAAUUAUAGCAUUAACCAGAAGACAAAGCAAUCCUAAAUGUGUAACACCUAAUAAAAAGAGUUUCAAAAUACAUGAAUGAAAAUCCAUUAGAACUAAACAAAUAAAAGAAUCCACAAUCAUAUUUGAAGACUUUAAUACCACAGGUUAAAAAGGAGCAUUAACAAGGAAAAUUAGAAAAUAUUUUGAACUGAAAGACAAUGAAAACAGGAUAUAUUAAAAUGAGAGAAAGGAGAAUGCAGUGAAAGCACUGUUUAGAAGGAAAUGUACAGCACCCAAUGUUUACAUCAGAAAAGGAGGAGGAAUUCAUCCAACACUGUGGAUGAAUUUCAGACAUCAUGAUCAGUAAAAGAAACCAGACACAAACGACUAUGUACUAUACUAUUAUAUUUUUUAUACAGUUCAAGAAUGUAUCAAACUAAUUUAUGAUGUGAGAAAUCACAAGAAUGGUUUACUGUGGAGGAUAAAAGGAAGCUGAAAGCAAAGAGGGCAGAAAGGAACUCUCCUUAUCAAGUCAAACUUCAAGUUUUCAGACCUACACAUUGUACUGUAUGCAAAUUUUACAAAAUAAAAUAAAAAGCAACACUCAUCACAACUGUAGUUAAGCAGCAGUUUGUGUAACUGUACAUCAAACAGGUGAUAUCCUGGCUCUUUUCUGUUUUUUGUUUCACUUGGAUCUUUCUAUUGCCUUUGUUUAGCACGAUGUCUGGAUUGUAACAGGUAUUCAGUGAAUAUGGGCAUACCUCAGAGAUAUCGCAGGUGUAGUUCCAAAAUACCACGAUAAAGCAAAUAUUGCAAUAAAGCAAAUCAUAUGAAUUUUUUUGUUUCUGAGUACACAUCAAAGUUAUGUUUAUACUAUACCAUAGUCUAUUAAGCGUGCAAUAGCAUUACGUCUAAAAAACAAUGUGCGUACCUUAAUUUUAAAAUAUUUUAUUGACACAAAAUGCUAAAGAUCAUCUGAGCCUUUAGUGAGUUGUAAUUCUUCUGCUGGUGGAGGGUCUUGCCUCCAUGUUGAUGGCUGCUGACUGAUCAGGGUAAUGGUUGCUAAAGGUUGGAGUGACUGUGGCAAUUUCUUCAAAUAAGACAAUAAUGAAGUUUGCUUCAUCAAUUCACUCCUCCUUUCACAAAAGAUUUCUCAGUAGCAUGCAAUGUUGUUUGAUAGUAUUUUACCCACAGUAGAACUUUGAAAACUGGAGUCAAUCCUUUUAAACCCUGCUGCUGCCUUAUCAACUACCUUUGUGAAAUGUUCUAAAUUCCUCCUUGUCAUCUCAACAAUGUUUACAGCAUCUUCACUGGCAGUAGUUUCCACCUCAAGAAGCCACUUUGUUCAUUCAUAAGGAUCAACUUCUCAUUCAUUAAAGUUUUAUCAUGAGAUUGCAGCAAAUCAAUCACAUGUUCAGGUUCCAUUUCUAAUUCUAGUCCUCUUGCUAUUUCUACCACAUCUAUUGUAACUUCCUUCACUAAAGUCUUGAACCCCUCAAAGACAUCCAUGAGGCUUAGACUCUGACAAAUUCUUGUUAAUGCUGAUAUUUUUACCUCCUUUCAUGAAUCAGAAGUAUUCUUAGUGGCAUCUAGAGUGGUGAAUCCUUUCCAAAAGGUUUUCAAUUUACUUUGCCCAGACCAGAGGGAUCACUAUUUAUGGUGGCUACAGCCUUACUAACUGCAUUUCUUAAAUAAUAAGACUUGAAAGUUGAAAUUAUUCCCUGAUCCAUGGACUGCAGAAUGGAUGUUACGUUAGUAGGCAUGAAAACAACAUUAAUCUCCUUGUACAUCUCCAACAAAGCACUUAGGUUACCAUGUGCAUUGUCAAUGAGAUGCAACAUUUUGAAAGGAAUCCUUUUUCUGAGUAGUGUGUCUCAACAGUAGGCUUAAAAUAUUUGGUAAACCAUGCGGCAAACCGAUGUGCAGUCAUCCAGGCUUUGUUGUUCCAUUUACAGAGCACAGGUAGAGUAGAUUUAGCAUAGUUCUUAAGGGCCCUAGGGUUCUUAAGAACUUAAGAAUGAUAAGUAGGCCAGGCGUGGUGGCACAUGCCUGUAGUC